rnacentral:rRNA from 1 species
UACGAAGGGGGCUAGCGUUGCUCGGAAUUACUGGGCGUAAAGGGCGCGUAGGCGGAUAUCUAAGUUGGGGGUGAAAUCCCGGGGCUCAACCUCGGAAUUGCCUUCAAAACUGGAUAUCUUGAGUUCGGGAGAGGUGAGUGGAACUCCGAGUGUAGAGGUGAAAUUCGUAGAUAUUAGGAAGAACACCAGUGGCGAAGGCGGCCAACUGGCCCGAUACUGACGCUCAUGUGCGAAAGCGUGGGGAGCAAACAGG